rnacentral:rRNA from 1 species
AAUGGAGGAAACUCUGAUCCAGCAAUGCCGCGUGUGUGAUGAAGGCCUUAGGGUUGUAAAGCACUUUCAACGGUGAAGAUGAUGACGGUAGCCGUAGAAGAAGCCCCGGCUAACUUCGUGCCAGCAGCCGCGGUAAUACGAAGGGGGCGAGCGUUGUUCGGAAUUAUUGGGCGUAAAGGGCGCGCAGGCGGUUUGGAUAGUUAGACGUGAAAGCCCUGGGCUUAACCUAGGAACUGCGUUUAAUACUGCCAAACUAGAGAACUAGAGAGGAUAGCGGAACUCCCAGUGUAGAGGUGAAAUUCGUAGAUAUUGGGAAGAACAUCAGUGGCGAAAGCGGCUGUCUGGCUAGUUUCUGACGCUGAGGCGCGAAAGCGUGGGGAGCAAACAGGAUU